rnacentral:lncRNA from 1 species
GUCGCCGAGGCAGUUCCUCCCGCAGCCCGCGCGCGGCUUGUCGGCGUCCUCCUGGUAGUUGGAGACGACGGUGGGCACCCUCCUGAUGGUCAGCUUCAUCUCCAUGCCGGUAGGUCGGUCAGUUACUCUCGGGGUGAGAACUCGUCGGGGUCCGGGGGGGUUAGCAGAAGGGACUAAUUGCUAGGAAAGGAAGAAGGUGAGAGACAGGAACGGCUCAGAGGCGACCGCCGCC